AGUAAGAGGGAAGGAGAAGGAACUAUUUUGCAUAUACAUAUAUUUGUGUGUAUAUAUACACACAAUAUAGAUAUUUUUUCUAAUUGUUUUUAAAGUUUGCUUAUUAGCUUAUACUUAAAAAUUCAUGUUUGCUGAGUAUUGAUUCGCACAACUCGGUUUUUUUAAUUAUACCUGUUGAUGUCAUUGAAAAUUUAAGAGUCUUCUUUCAGAAUAAAACGAUGAAUCAAAUGAAAUUAUGGUUCAUGUAUUAACUAAGUGACCAUCAAAAUUAGUUUGGAUGGGAAAGGGAAUAAGAAUUGAUUUCUUCAUGUUCCCCAUCUAGUUCCAAAACAAGAUUUGAGUGUCUUUGGUGCUGUGGAGACUAGGUAAUGUUCAUGGAAGAUAGGGAGUCUUCAAAUAGUUCCCUUGGGAGUCGGUUUUAGCAGACUAAGUUAUGUUAAUCAAAUUGGAAGCUACAAAAUUUGGUAGAAAAAAUUGAUGCAACACUUAGUUUUUACCUUAAAACUGUUUUUAUUACUUUAGCUUCUAGAGCAUUUUACUGUUUAGACAGGCUAUGUAGGUAAACCAUUGGAGUAAUUCUAUUAAUAGUAAAGAAGUUCUUGGUGCUUGGUUUGAUUAAUUGUCAAACAUUUAGGAAAAGCAGAAAAGGAACCCCAAAACACUGUUGUACACCAUGUAGUCUUACUUUCUGACUGAAUAGUAGUUUUCCUCUUUUCCCCUCAGUUUCAGUGAAAGGAUAAGGACUGAUUUUCAUUUACCUUGAGUAUAUCUAUCAUAAGUAAAGGAUUUUCAAUGACUCAUGUUUAUGAAUCAGAAGUUUAAAUGUUUGCAGGAUUACUGCACUUUAAUAAUCGACUAAAAAUGCCAGCUGUACUCUCCACUGAGAAAAUGAACUAAGUCCUCUGUCUUUACACUUGUGCUCUUUUGAAAGCUUUUGAUGUAAAUAACACCAGUUGAGAAGUGAGAAACCUUUUAUCUUAAAAAAUGCAGUUUGAGUGAUGGAAGGUUUCCUUUGUAUUUUAAAACAUUUUUACAGUUGAUUGUUCAAAUAUUGACUUUCUGUAAAAACAUUAUGUUAAAUUUAGAGCCUUUGUAGUGCAAUAUCAAUAAAUUUUGCCUGCUUGGGCAGUUUUAAUUACUACCUUAACCUGGUUUCUGCUGCUGAUACUUGUAGGUUGCAAGUUGCUGAU
rnacentral:lncRNA from 1 species